ensembl:lncRNA
AUGGAAGGAGACAGGUCAGGUGCCUGGAGGCUAUUUGGGAUGCCCCGUGGCUGGAAGAGGGUGCACUCUACCAGAACUGGGGUACCGCAGACGGGGCUUGUGAAGUGCUGCGAUGUCUGCAUGCCCAAGAAGGGGUCACUGGCAUAUAACAUUCACAACCAGGAGACGUCCAUGGUGGUCGAUUGUCUGAUUUUUGUCGAUUUGGCGUCCCAUAGGAGUUCACACGGUGACCAAGGACGUAACCGCAAGUCAUGCCUGGUGAUGGAACUGUGUGGGUUUUACAGGACACGGACGACUCUGCUCCACACCCAGAGGGACGGGUUGGUUGAGAGGCUCAUCUGCCCUCAUGCUGGGCUGCCUUCGUGGGAGGGGCUCCACUCCAACCGACUCCGCCUGCCGCUGCUGAUUGGCCACCACAAGAUUUAAAAGGAGACCUCCCGAAUGUGUUCGGGAGGUCUGCGAGAGAUCUUGCCCUGUGGUUAUUUGGUUGUGGUAUUUGCUUAGGGUGUUGUGUAGAAUCCGUUGCCUGUGUGUUGUUGGUCCCCUACUACCUCCCUCCCUUGGUAAGGCCUCUGUAGUGCGCGUGUUUAUUUGUAGGGAAUGUCUUGUUAAUAGGGAAGUGUGUAAUAGGGCUUCUACCAACCUAGUCUAUGAUCCUUAAACUCAUCUAAUUUACCAGUUUUAUAGAUGGAACAUUUCUUUUCCUUCUUUCUGAAGCUGCAGAAUAAUUAUGACCUGGUUCACAGUGGAUUCCAUUUAUCCGCUGGUGUCGUAAACAUGUGGAUGUCAUUUUGGUUUGCCAACAUCCUGUUUGGUCUGCACGAUUUACUCUGCUGUUGCCUCUGAGUAUUUUGCUGCGUUUCUGAAGACAUGGGUGUAACCGCUGAGUUAACUAUUACAACCGUGCAAGUUUAAGUUUAACUAGCCAAUAAUAGCUUGCAUGAUUCUUAGGACCAUAUGUUUUUGUUUCUAGUAUAGAACUAAUAGAGUUUGAUUUCAGUCUUUGCUUCAAUUUGUACGAUUUCUGCAUGUAUAAUACAUGUGACAUUAGUCAGUGACUAAUGCAUUUUUGUUUGCUCAAACCCCCCUGGCUUUACACUUUAAAACAAAUGAUGCAAUGUUCUGACACAGGAGCUCAUUAUAUCAGAUUAGCAACAUGGGCACUGGCGCGCCAUAAUGACUGCUCUUGGGAAGACGGUAGACUAGUGUACGUAUGGUGUUACUGGCAAAAAGUUGCCAAACUGAGAUUUCAGCUAUGUUUGUUAGUUUGGCAAUUUUUUAUUUCUCAGUGGUCAAUGAUUAGCAUAUUCCACUUGGAAUUUCAGUGAAUUGGAGAAAAAAUAUUCCUUGUGUAAUACAGAUCAUCUUGAAAAUAAGAACAUAAUUAUUUCUAUAUUUUGAAUGAUUGCUGUUAUCAUCAUGUUAUAAUUUUUAUUAGACCUAUAUUAUUGCUAUUACAAUAUUUGUUUAACUUAAUCUCAUUGAAUGUUUCAGUUUGGUAGUGAAUUCUGGGGCGUGGCAGCUGCUGUGUAAAAUGUUUCAGUCAGGCGUCGUGGUCGCAGUUCUCAGAGAAAAUGUUUGAGGUACAAAAGAAAGCUCUCCUGUUUCCGGCCCAUAAAUGGUUAAACAUUUCUACAGGAUGGCAAGUGAUGGAUGAUCAUGAGGAACAAUGUGCUGAAUAAGCUUUGCAUCGCCGGUAUGAACAUCUGACGCUAGAAAAGCUUGGGCCUAGCCUCAUUGUUUAGCCACAAAGGCUCGAAGUAUUAGUUGUUGAAGAAGACAGGUCAGGUGUGACUUCAUACUUUGCAUUCUUGAAAAGAUGCUCGGAGGGGUUUGGACUCAAGUUUUGCUAAAAUAAAAUGUCUGGAAAUGAUGCA